rnacentral:lncRNA from 1 species
UGUGCUUCUAUUUAAGAGGAGAAAAGCCAAGCUUGCUGACUGUGGAGUGUGUGUGUAUGAAUCAGUGCCUGUUCUGUGAUCAUUUUCCCUAUUCUGUCAUUGGGCCAUUUUAUGGUUUUUUUUUUUUCAUGUUCUGUUUACCUAGAGACUUGAGUUAAGGUGACUCUCCAGAAGCUAUCCUUUGGACCACGGUGCUUUCUGUGGCACAGUAACUCUGCUGUCACCACACUAAACAGGGGUCACAGUUUACUCAGGGUUUCCAUGAAGGAGACCUUACAAUGACCAUGAAUUUCCCACUGCUGUUAAGCAGCUAAAACUUGUGUGAGCAGCUCAUUGCUCAUCUCUGCAUACAGCUGUGCCUGGUAAUGUGCUCAGCAGGUCCUUCUCUGUCCUGGGUUUUACCCAUCAACUUUGUGCGCUUCCCUCUUGGAAAAUCAAGCAUAGAUUUUGUAUGUGCAGUUCACAGAAACUCUUCCAAAAAUUGAAAGCCAUCAUCCAGGGCUCCUCCAGAUGUACCGUGUUCUGCAUGUACCAUGGAGUGGAAAGGAACAAAGUGAUUAUCUGA